UAAAGGAACGGGCACCCAACUUCCAUCUGUCACCACCUGGGCUAUGAGCCACAAUAUGUUUGUACUUGGAGCACUGUACCCACUUGAGCCAUGUGCUCAGCAGCAAUGUAAACAACCAGUCAGCAGCAAAAAUAACAAAACCUGUUUCAGAAAAACAAGAGGGGAUAGUAAGUAGUCUAAGAAGCUGAGCCUGAGAGACUCAGAGUUGAACAAGCCAGAUCCUUAUCUUGUUGGACUUGAAGAAGUAGGAACAGAGGAGGACACUCUCUACCCCCACCCCUACUUCCUGCAAGAAACAAAUUAAUGAGGAAAACAAGAGGACAUUUGUUCAUAGUUUUAUGGGACUCUGGAGCCUUCAGCUGGGCCACCCACACUGGACUCUUGCUUCUAGUGCUGCUACUUCAAGAAACAAGGACCACCACGUGCGUGGACACAAGGAGCCCUGCGCUGGGGAGACCAAGCCAGGCCUGCCUGUCUCCAACCUCCUUGACUUCUCUACUGCCACAGUUUUCAUUCCAAGGCUAGGGCAGCAGGUUUUGGCUUCUCUGGCCCACAUUGGGGAUGAAAUACAAACAGUAUUAAUGGCAGAAAAAUCAGUACAAAGAGAAUUCAAGCAAACCUUCAAUAAAAAGCCAAAGGUUGAAGUCAGGCAGUUCUAGUCCUUAGAGCUCGGCGGUGAGGAAGAUGCUGCUGAGCUUGGAUGACUCAGAAUCAACACACAUUAAAUAGGAACUUAAUAACAAGUGAUAUUUGACAACAGAAACAAUUUUUUAAGAUUACAAAUGAAAACUGUCAGUAU
rnacentral:lncRNA from 1 species